rnacentral:rRNA from 1 species
AGAGUUUGAUCAUGGCUCAGAACGAACGCUGGCGGCAGGCCUAAUACAUGCAAGUCGAGCGCCCAGCAAUGGGAGCGGCGGACGGGUGCGUAACACGUGGGAACGUACCCUUCGGUUCGGAAUAACUCAGGGAAACUUGAGCUAAUACCGAUUACGCCCGAAAGGGGAAAGAUUUAUCGCCGAAGGAUCGGCCCGCGUUCGAUUAGCUAGUUGGUGGGGUAAUGGCUCACCAAGGCAACGAUCGAUAGCUGGUUUGAGAGAACGACCAGCCACACUGGGACUGAGACACGGCCCAGACUCCUACGGGAGGCAGCAGUAGGGAAUCUUGGACAAUGGGGAAACCCUGAUCCAGCCAUGCCGCGUGAGUGAUGAAGGCCUUCGGGUUGUAAAACUCUUUCGCGCACGACGAUAAUGACGGUAGUGCGAGAAGAAGCUCCGGCUAACUUCGUGCCAGCAGCCGCGGUAAUACGAAGGGGGCUAGCGUUGUUCGGAAUUACUGGGCGUAAAGCGCGCGCAGGCGGCUUUUCAAGUCAGGGGUGAAAGCCCGGAGCUCAACUCCGGAACUGCCUCUGAGGCUGUAAAGCUUGAGUACGGGAGAGGUGAGUGGAAUUCCGAGUGUAGAGGGGAAAUUCGUAGAUAUUCGGAAGAACACCGGUGGCGAAGGCGGCUCCUGGCCCGUUACUGACGCUCAGGCGCGACAGCGUGGGGAGCAAACAGGAUUAGAUACCCUAGUAGUCC